GAAAGAAGAGAAAGUGGAGGAGAUGGAGAGAUGCUCCAUUGCUUUCAGAGUAAUGUAAGUUAUAGCAACAAGAACCAUACAAACCCUCUAUUAUGAGGCUAAGAGUCUUCUAGCGGUGGUUCGCCCUCGAAUAAUUACAAAAGAUGCACAAGAGAAGUUAUCGGUAUAACUGUCGGAUGUGCAAGUGGACUACUGAUAUUCACAUCCAUUUUCUAUCAAUGGUGGAUGAAGGAUGCACCUGGCCAUGUGUGAGUGCA